UAGGGAAUCUUCGGCAAUGGACGAAAGUCUGACCGAGCAACGCCGCGUGAGUGAAGAAGGUUUUCGGAUCGUAAAACUCUGUUGGUAGAGAAGAACGUUGGUGAGAGUGGAAAGCUCAUCAAGUGACGGUAACUACCCAGAAAGGGACGGCUAACUACGUGCCUG
rnacentral:rRNA from 1 species